GACGAACCGUGCGAACGUUAUUCGGAAUCACUGGGCUUAAAGCGCGUGUAGGCGGGCGGGAACGUCGGUCGUUGAAAUCCCCCGGCUCAACCGGGGAAUGGGCGCCGGAAACGACUCGCCUCGAGGGACGUAGGGGGACCUGGAAGCUUCCGGUGGAGCGGUGGAAAUGCGUUGAGAUCGGAAGGAACGCCCGCGGCGAA
rnacentral:rRNA from 1 species